AGCUAUAAGAUCUCUGAAAAAUCCGAUCAAUGGAGUGCCGAUCUAUUUUAACCGAUCUAACAUAUUCAUGUUUUGAAAUACGACAUAGAAUAAUAUAUCAGCAGAACUUUCAUUAUCAACUCAUAUCCUUUUUAUAUCAUAUUUUACUAUUAUCAUAAAGAUGACAAUAGCAUUAUUAUGAAGAGUCUGGACUCCUUGAACAUCA
rnacentral:lncRNA from 1 species